rnacentral:rRNA from 1 species
UGGGGAAUUUUGGACAAUGGGGGCAACCCUGAUCCAGCCAUUCCGCGUGAGUGAAGAAGGCCUUCGGGUUGUAAAGCUCUUUCAGCGGGGAAGAAACGGUGGGCUCUAACAUAGCCUGCUAAUGACGGUACCCGCAGAAGAAGCACCGGCUAACUACGUGCCAGCAGCCGCGGUAAUACGUAGGGUGCGAGCGUUAAUCGGAAUUACUGGGCGUAAAGCGUGCGCAGGCGGCGACAUAAGACAGAUGUGAAAUCCCCGGGCUCAACCUGGGAACUGCGUUUGUGACUAUGUGGCUAGAGUGUGGCAGAGGGGGGUGGAAUUCCACGUGUAGCAGUGAAAUGCGUAGAUAUGUGGAGGAACACCGAUGGCGAAGGCAGCCCCCUGGGUCAACACUGACGCU